GCCUGUACCCCGGCUACGGGUAUCCUUUUUUCGGCUUCGGCUACAGAUUCGGCGACGACGAUUUCGACUUCGACUUCGACUCAUAAACUUGCGGGAAUCAAGCUGUUUGGACUGAGAAGAUGUGACACGAUCAACUUCUGUCGAGUUUUUAUCCGAACAUCAAUGACACUUUGAAUAAAAAGUCUGAAACCUAUCGUUUGGUGCUGUGUUUUAAGUAAGAUUGAUUGGGACAAAUAAACAUGGAGAUGGGCAACACA